UACGUAGGGGGCAAGCGUUGUCCGGAUUUAUUGGGCGUAAAGAGCGUGUAGACGGCCAUACAGGUCAGCUGUGAAAACUCGAGGCUCAACCUCGAGACGUCGGUUGAAACCGUAUGGCUAGAGUCCGGAAGAGGAGAGUGGAAUUCCCGGUGUAGCGGUGAAAUGCGCAGAUAUCGGAAAGAACACCCGUGGCGAAGGCGGCUCUCUGGGACGGUACUGACGCUGAGACGCGAAAAGCGUGGGGAGCGAACGAGG
rnacentral:rRNA from 1 species